UGUUUUUGUAUUCUUGAUUUAAUGGGUUUAUUGUCGAAGUUUCUAUUAUUUUAAUUUCUCUCAUCUACUCAGGAGGAACAGUAAGCAAACCCAAGGCAAUAUAGAUGAUGUUCUCAACUGUUCAGUUUUAUCCAGAAUCUGCCUUCAGUGGUGACCAGGUAGCUUAUUCCAGCCACAUGGCUACUAAUACUUAGAUGCUCCAUAUUCUUUGCUUGUGAUGUAACAAUGCAGUAGAAACCUAGGGAGAAAAUUGACCCCUCGAAUGAAAGUUUCUUCGAAUCUGGCAUUUUGUUGUUUAUCUGUAAAGUUAAUUUUACCUCUGUGUUUCUACCACUUUUAGAAAAGCCACUGGGAAAUAUUUAACUAUUUCAGUGUACCUUAAUUAUCAAAACAGGAGUGUGUUUGUUAUGGCAGUGCUGAUGACAAAGUGCCACAGCACUUCCAUAGUCUGGAGAGAAUUAGGAUAUCAUUAUAGUCCUCUCCAGUCAUUCCAGAAUGAGAUCAGAAGAGAUUGUCAUCCUCUUUGCAAAUGAGAAACAGGUAUAGGUGUGAAGAGACCUGGCCAUGACCAUUCAGCAAAUGAAAUGUCCACUGGAAGAUGGGGUUGACCUCUUAUGCAUCAGGGAGGACUUCUUACCCUGGACAAGAGCAUGAGGUCCACCAAGACACUUGGAAGAAACACAUCAUCUUUCCUGGAUGUUCUAAUUUGGGGGCCCAUCAAUAUAUGGCAUUUGCUUCAUGUGCUUGCUGAAAACUAGUUGAUGAAAUUGUUCCCACACAGCCUGCAUGGAUGCCAGUUGCAUGUGGGCAAGUUGAGCCAGAGAUGUGGCGUGAUUAUGUCAUAACAGGCGGUCUCUGCUCUGAAGCUCUGUCAGUCGGGCCCGUGCAUUUCAUGCCACCAGCUUGCAGUCGUGCUUCUCCACCCAGCGAUGGCUCCUUAGGCAGCAGAGGCUGAAGAACAGAGAACGGCUUCCGGCUGUCUGGUUUCCUUCGGGCCAAGGUCUCUGGGCAAGGUGCUUUCCAAGCCUGUGUAACCAAGCAGAAAUCCCUAGGGAGUGUAUAAAUUCAAGUUUCUGCCAUGCAGGAGAGGAAACUGCCAUACCCACAAAUGCCUCAUCCACAGCCAACUUGACAUUCUUCACAGUGAGCCGUGAGUUCUGUAGCCUCAUGACAUACCUAAUUUGUGUUGCAUUUUGAAUAUUCUUGAAAAUGUCCAUAUAAUGAGAGGAAAACAAUAUGUGUCUAAGCAGAGCCUUGUCUCCAUGUGCAAAUCUUCUGGCAGAAGCCACAUUAAUGCUAAUGAAAUCUGAAUGCUAAAGCCCGUCCCGCAGUGGGUGGAUGGUCUCUGUGCUGAAACACAUUUUCUUCUCAUUAGCACCACCAUCUUUAUUAAUAUUAACAGUAAUAAUGAGAAUUAGGGAGGCUGGGUUCUGGCAGAACCCAGAAUUAGUGUGUGUGUGUGCCGGGG
rnacentral:lncRNA from 1 species